rnacentral:rRNA from 1 species
GACAGAGGUGCCAAGCGUUAGGCGGAAUCACUGGGCUUAAAGCGUGUGUAGGCGGGUGCCUAAGUACCUUGUGAAAUCCCACGGCUCAACCGUGGAACGGCUGGGUAUACUGGGUGCCUUGGGUCAUCCAGGGGUUGCCGGAACAAAUGGUGGAGCGGUGAAAUGCGCAGAUAUCAGGAGGAACACCGGUGGCGAAGGCGGGUCUCUGGGCCGAUACUGACGCUGAGGAGCGAAAGCGUGGGGAGCGAACGGG